rnacentral:rRNA from 1 species
GACGAACGCUGGCGGCGUGCUUAACACAUGCAAGUCGUACGGUAAGGCCCUUUCGGGGGUACACGAGUGGCGAACGGGUGAGUAACACGUGAGUAACCUGCCCACAACUUUGGGAUAACGCUCGGAAACUGGUGCUAAUACUGGAUAUGUGCUCCUGCUGCAUGGUGGGGGUUGGAAAGCUCCGGCGGUUGUGGAUGGACUCGCGGCCUAUCAGCUUGUUGGUGGGGUAGUGGCCUACCAAGGCGGCGACGGGUAGCCGGCCUGAGAGGGUGACCGGCCACAUUGGGACUGAGAUACGGCCCAGACUCCUACGGGAGGCAGCAGUGGGGAAUAUUGCACAAUGGGCGCAAGCCUGAUGCAGCAACGCCGCGUGCGGGAUGACGGCCUUCGGGUUGUAAACCGCUUUCAGCAGGGACGAAGCUUUUUGUGACGGUACCUGCAGAAGAAGCACCGGCUAACUACGUG